AAAUCUUAACAAGAUGAUGUGAAUGGUUCUGAAACCAAAAUAUAUGUUAUAUGUUGUUCAACAACACAGUGCUAUCUAGAAGUACUUAAACUUGAUAGAAUAACCCAGCACCACCACCUGCUGUUUGAUACAGAAAAUUCAACUUAGUGAGCUCACUUUUAGCUUGAUCUAGUUAUAAAUUAUCAUGGGGAUAAAGUGCCAUUAUCAUCCUUAUCUCUCAGAUUUUAAGGUCUUUAAAUAAUGUAUGUCUUGAGCAGAUACAGAUUUUAAAAUAUACCGAUAUUUCAAAGGGAAGAGAUAAACAGAACAAAACAAGGAAAGCCAAAUCAGAUAGAUAAAUACCUUGAACUUGAGCACUCUAUUGUACUCUAAAGAUAAGAGACUGAAUUAUCCUACUAAGGAAUCCCAUAAGCUUUUCAUCUUAGUGAUUUCAGAGACUAUACACGUCUUUCCUCUGUGUAUUUAUUACUGGUAACAGGUAUACGACCAAUGAAAUACAGAGGGAAAACACGACUUCUUAAAUUAAGACAAAUUUGGAUUUGAAUUCCAGUCUUUCCACCUGUUAGCUUUAAGCUCAGUCCAAUUAUGCAGCCUCUCUAACCCCCCUGCUGCAGAUUUGAAAAACUGGGAUAUCAACAUGGACCUAGGGUAUCAUGUGAAGCACUGGGGACACAUGUUAGGCACUAAAAAAUGGCAUCUCUGAUGAUAUUAUUUUGUCCACAAUUGACAUAUAUAAGAAAAAUUUUAAAACCUAGGCUUUUACAUUUUUGAAUGAAAGCUGAUUAGCAUGUCCGUUUCUGCAAUGCGUUGCGAUGUGCUUCAGUUAAAUUAACUAGUUGAUUUCAUUUGUAAUCUUUUGAGUUCCCUAUAUAUCCUCGGCAACAGAAUAGAACAGUAUCACUCAAAUCCCAAAUUUGGGAAGUUCAAAUCAGACCAGACCAUGGACAGAUGAGAGGGUUAUCAUGAGAAGAUGUAAGAGGUUUUGUUUCUCAAAUAAGCAUAAAGUGUGGAACUUGAGUCAGACAGUCAACCUGAUUGAAACAUCAGAUUUACUGUGGACAAGCCUUACAACUUCAGCCUACAAUCCAGUUGGGUAUUAUCUUUGACAAGAAGACUCUGAAGGAAGUAGACAGUCCAAACACAUAUUUCAUGGAUAUAUUUGGAUUCAUCCUAUGAUGCAAGGUCACUUUGGAAAGCAUGAAUCUGUCCUCAUGGACAAGCUUCCAAAAGAUUUAAAAAAAUGGAUUUUUAUCCUGUUUUCUGAUCUAAUCUCAUAGAAAGUAGUAAUUUUUUGAAACUUCAUUAUUAUCCUUAGGGUAGUAAAACUGUGAAUAAGGUCAUCACUAUGAGCCUUCUGUACAAAUUCAAUUAGAUGAGAAAAAUUAAAUAGAUCUGUAUCAUGGAACUUUUUGGUACUACAUAGAAUUAUACAAUGCAUGUAUGAAAAUAUAAAUAUGGAGAUGGGUGGAUAGAUACAGGGAUGGACAGAUGGAGAGACUUCAGAAAAGAAGUUUAGCAGGGGAAAAACGGAAGUUGUUCCUUGCAUUAUAAUGCCAACUAAUAAAGAUAAAAGGAAUGACAGAAAUAGAAAAUCACUAUUUGGAAACCACCCUCAUAAUAAAGUUUCAGGUAAGAAUUAUCUAUGGAUUUGUGGGUAAAAGUAUAGUUGAAAAGUAGGAUGAUUACAUAAUCUCAGAGUACCUCUCAACACCAUAUUUAUUAAUUGCAAAUGGAAAAUGGUAACUUUCAGUCGGAGAAAACCGGCAGAUAAUACCUUUACUAAGUGGGCAAAGUUGAAAUUACCAUCCCACUAAUAGCACAUCGGCCUGAACCAAGAAAGACACAUUACCCCUGUGGCAUUCCUGCCCCACAUGCAUAAUUUGAAUUUAAUAACAAGGAAAUAUCGGGAAAACCCAAACUGAGAAACAUUUUACAAGAUAACUGGCCUAUAUUCCAAAAACAAAAACAAAAACAAAAACAAACAAACAAACUAACAAACAAACCCCAAAUCCUUAAAAGACAGAGAAAAACUGAGGACCUGUUUCAGAUUAAAGCAAGAUAAGGAACAUGAUAAUAAUAUGCAACGUGUGAUCCUGGAUCAGAAGCAUCAAUUUAUUGAGUGAGGAAAAUGUGGAUGGGAAAGAAGAAUAAAGAACCAGGAGCUGGAGUUUGGGAUGAACGGCACAUCUAACUGAAAGCAUUUCCUGAACUGUAAGCUCUGCGAGGAGAAGAAACAGGUUGGUGUUUGCUCACUGGUCUUCAUCUAGCUCUGACACAAUGCCCGGCACCUAGGAUGUGCUCGGUAAACGUGUAUUAAAGGAAUAAUGUACAAUUUCUAAUUUGUGAUUUGUCCAACUCUUACUCUCCUCUUUUGCAAUGGUCCUGACACAUUCCUAAAUGCUGUUCACUAAACAUACAGGGAUUGUAAGCAUAGAAUUAUUCAAUCCAAGCAACCUUUUCAAGAGAAGAAAACUAACUUAUGUGAGACUGAGAAAGAUGGACUCUGACAUUACUCAGUAACGAAGCCCAGGCAUAUCUUUGCUGGCCCAUGCUAAGAGGAAGGUCUGUGGUUAACUCACAUUCCUUUUCCCCUACUGAGCACUUGUAAAUUUCCUUGAACAUUAAUUUAAUAUUAAUAGCCUUAAACAGCUGUGGGAGAGUUGUGGUAAAAACAAGGCGGCUGGUAGAGAGCAGUGUCACAUUUCAAACCCAAAUCCAAGGUCUCAGCAACGUCUAAUUUUUUGGAAUGUGAGUUGUGAAAUUCGAAACUACUAGAAUAAUUGGAAGUGCCAGAGAACACUGGAUGAGUGGUAAUUAAAGUGGACGUGCAAACCAGCCUGAGGGGCAAGGUGUGGCAAGAGGUGUCUCGAAUCUGCCUCUCAAACUUAAUCUCUAUUCUUGAUGACAUCUGCAUUUUCCUUUAUAUUAGAUGGUAACUAAACUGGCCAAGUCUGAGAAUGCCUGCAAGCCCUCAACCUAAGGCAAUUCCUUAGAGUUCUCAGGAUGACUUCAAAGGGAUAUCACAUCUCCACACUCUACCAGUAGCUGAUGAAUGCAAGGCUGGGUCCUUCCCUCGCUGCCACCCAAUUCAUACCCCCAGUAACACCUAUGCAAGGGCCUGGAGCACAAGGUUGUAUGCAUGACAGCUAGAGUGGGGUUUUAUUUUGUGGUUAUAUUUUAUUGAAUAGGGUUACUGAGACAUAACUGACAUAAGAUAACUGCACAUAUUUAUUGGGUAGGAUUUGAUGUUUUAACAUAUAUACACACCAUGUUUGAAUGUAUAUACCCCCCUGACACCAUCACCACAAUGGAGAUACUGAACAAUCCUAUCACCUCCAAAAAAAAGUGUCCUCCUGCCCCUUUGUAACCCCUCUCUCUUGCCCCUCCCCAUCUUCCUUUCACACAAGACGACCACUCAUUUGCUUUCUUCCACUAUAUGUUAAAUGUCAUUUGCUAAAAUAGAUAGAACCAUACUGUCUUAUUUUACACGGCUUCUUUAAUUUAGCAGUUAUUCUAUUGACAUUUACAUUCUCCAUGUUGUAGUACAAAUUCCUUUUCACUAUAGACUAACCCUCUAUUUUAUAACACACAACUUGUUUAUCCAUUUAUCUGCUGAACAUGUGGAAUGUUUGUAGCUAUUAAAAAUAGAGCUGAUAGUAAUGUUUACAUAAAAGUGUUUCUAAAGACAUAGCUUUCAUUCCUCUUGAGUAACUAGGAGUAGAAUAGCUGAGUUUAUGUUUAACUAUUUAAGAAACUUCAAAAUAUUUUCCAAAGUGGUUAUAAUAGUUUUGCAUUCCUAACAUGAGUGUAUGACAUUUCGAAUCCCCCAAGCACUUUGCCAACACUUAGUAUAGCAGGUCUUUUUUUUUUUUUUUUUUUUUUUAGGGAUAUAUCGUUAGCUCAUUGUGGUAGCUCGUUAAUUUGUUAUCUCCAAACUAACUAGUGAGGGUGAGUAUCUUUUAGCGUGUUCCUUUGUCAUCAGUACAUGUUUUAGUGAUUUAUUCAAAUAUUUUGUCCAUUUUUAGUUGGAUUGUUUAUUAUCAUUGUAAGAGUUCAUUUCAGUUCUUUACAAUUCCCCUUAUCCACAGGGAAUAUGUUCCAAGACCUCUGUGGAUGCCUGAAACUGUGGAUACUCCCAAACCCUAUAUAUACUGUUUUUUUUUUCCUCUACAGUAGUAUCUAUGACAAAUUUAUAAAUUAUCUACAGUAAGAGAUUAACAACAAUAACCAAUAAUAACACAGGACAAUUUUAGCAACACACUCCAAUAAAAGUUAUGUGAAUGUGGCCUCUUUCCCUCAAAAUAUCUUAUUGUACUUUAUUCACCCUUCUUGUGACGAUGUGAGACAAUAAAAUACCUACAUGAUGCGAUGAAGUGAGGUGAGUGACGUGGGCACUAUGACAUGGUGCAGGCUACUAUUGACCUUCUGACAACAGGUGAGAAGAAGGAUCAUCGCCAUCUGGAUCACCAUUGACUGGUACAAAGUGAAACUGUGGAUACUGGAGGAUUGCUGUGUAUCUUCUGAAGACGUAUCCUUUAUCAUGUAUCAUGAAGCAUAUCAUAUGCACAUAGUGCUUUGCAAAUAUUCUCUCCCUUUUCAUUUUCUCAACAGCAUCUUAUGAAGAGUAGAUGUCUUUAAUUUUAAUGAAAAGCAGUUGCUCAAUCUGUUCUUUUAUGGACCAUGCUUUUGUUUUGUUUUGUUUUGUUUUGUUUUGUUUUGUUUUGGGAUAGGUGCGAAUUAAGAGGGCUUAUGCAAGGUGCUGAAAAAGUGAAGGAAGGUUAAUUCAUCCAAAAUUUUGUGAAAAGUUUGUACCAUAAGUUGUACUCCAGGGCCUAAAAUAUAUUACUUGAUGUGACUACACAGCAAGAGGUCAAUAAUUAGAAUGUGACUAGAGUACUCGCUGUUCGUCUUCGUUAUGCUAUGUGUCUGAUUCCAGGGAAGCCAUAAGUAUUGAGGAGUUCCCUAUGCAUGGCAACUGGUGUCACCUACAAUCAAAUGUGUAGGGACGAUCAGAAGACCAACUCAAGAGAAAAGAGGAAAUACGACAUGCCUGUUAUUUACAUUAGUUAAGCAAGGGAGAAGUAUGUUUAUGCAAGCAACCCUCACCUACAAAGACAAUUCAAGUCUUGAGGGGAAUUCAUGGAUCAAGAAAAAUAAUACAUUCUUCCCAUAUUAUAGAAUAUUUCCAUCACUACAUAUAACUCGAUGCCAACUUCUGCAGUAUCCAUCGAUAUGACAAAAAGCCCAAUAAAUAGCGGAGUUGGAAACA